rnacentral:rRNA from 1 species
UACGGAGGGUGCAAGCGUUAUCCGGAUUCACUGGGUUUAAAGGGUGCGUAGGUGGGUUGAUAAGUCAGUGGUGAAAUCCCCGAGCUUAACUUGGGAACUGCCAUUGAUACUAUUGAUCUUGAAUACCGUGGAGGUCAGCGGAAUAUGUCAUGUAGCGGUGAGAUGCUUAGAUAUGACAUAGAACACCAAUUGCGAAGGCAGCUGGCUACGCGAAUAUUGACACUGAUGCACGAAAGCGUGGGGAUCAAACAGG